CGCAUUGUUCCAUCCCUCUUCUUCAUAAAUAAUUCCAGUGCACCCCAAGGCUAUACACAGGGCCAUGAUCGAAGCCACGAUCGAGGCCCAGUUCCGAAGGCAGCUUGGGAAGAUCUAUAAAGGAGGGAAUUUCGUCUCAUUUGCCAUUUUUGACGAACUUGAGCUUGAGCAGAGGCGACUUUUGUCAGAUUUUCAAGGAAAGACAUUGGGAUUCGAGCCAAUCAAAGUUAGAUAAUCAAGGAAAAAGCCUACUAGUGGACUAAACUGGAGCAAGACAAGGUACUGCUCCUCCCGCCCAUUAUGUUAUUCAAGGACAAGAAUAUAAUAUGGGUUAUUAUUUAGCUGAUGGUAUAUAUCCAAAAUGGUCAACCCUUGUACAAACUAUUCGUGAGCCACGUUCGAAGAAGAAAUAUUUUGCGAUGAAACAAGAAUCAUGUCGAAAAGAUGUUGAACGUACAUUCAGAGUUUUGCAACAACGUUUUGCAAUUGUUGCAGGACCAUCACGUUUUUGGAAAAAAGAAGUGCUACAUGAUAUAAUGACUAUAUGUAUUAUAUUGUACAACAUGAUAAUCGAGAAUGAGCGUGAUCUUAAUGCACCAAUUCAAGAUGAUUUGGAAGGUCCACCUCCAACAGUAGAAAUGGCAGUAGAUGAAAAUCAAUGAUUUCAAGAAUUUUUAUCUCGACAUAGAAGAAUUAAGGACAAAGAUGCUCAUUUUGCACUUCGUAAUGCAUUAAUAUAUCAUUUAUGGGAGAAUACUAGAGGUUGAAAUCGAAUAUUUAUGUAGUAUUUCGAAUGAAAUUUAUCGUUAUGUAAUAUGUAUUUAAUUAAUCUUGUAUC